rnacentral:tRNA from 1 species
AAAUUUAAAUUUAAUCCUUAUUAAAUUUAGACUUAGAAUUUAAAAUCGAAAGAGUUUU